rnacentral:misc_RNA from 1 species
GAUGAAGAACGCAGCGAAAUGCGAUAAGUAAUGUGAAUUGCAGAAUUCAGUGAAUCAUCGAAUCUUUGAACGCACAUUGCGCCCGCCAGUAUUCUGGCGGGCAUGCCUGUCCGAGCGUCAUUUCAACCCUCGAACCCCUCCGGGGGGUCGGCGUUGGGGAUCGGCCCUUUACCGGCCGGCCCCGAAAUACAGUGGCGGUCUCGCCGCAGCCUCUCCUGCGCAGUAGUUUGCACACUCGCACCGGGAGCGCGGCGCAGUCCAAUGCCGUAAAACACCCAACUUUCUGAAAUGUUGACCUCGGAUCAGGUAGGAAUACCCGCUGAACUUAAGCAUAUCAAUAGCGGAGGA